AGGACGAACGCUGGCGGCGUGCUUAACACAUGCAAGUCGAGCGGUAAGGCCCUUUCGGGGGUACACGAGCGGCGAACGGGUGAGUAACACGUGAGCAAUCUGCCCUUCACUUCGGGAUAAGCCUCGGAAACGGGGUCUAAUACCGGAUAUGACCGCGCUACGCAUGUGGUGUGGUGGAAAGUUCUGGCGGUGGAGGAUGAGCUCGCGGCCUAUCAGCUUGUUGGUGGGGUAAUGGCCUACCAAGGCUUCGACGGGUAGCCGGCCUGAGAGGGUGACCGGCCACACUGGGACUGAGACACGGCCCAGACUCCUACGGGAGGCAGCAGUGGGGAAUAUUGGACAAUGGGCGAAAGCCUGAUCCAGCAACGCCGCGUGAGGGAUGACGGCCUUCGGGUUGUAAACCUCUUUCAGCGCCGACGAAGCGAGAGUGACGGUAGGCGCAGAAGAAGCACCGGCCAACUACGUGCCAGCAGCCGC
rnacentral:rRNA from 1 species